AUUGAACGCUGGCGGCAGGCCUAACACAUGCAAGUCGAACGGUAACAGGAAGAAGCUUGCUUCUUUGCUGACGAGUGGCGGACGGGUGAGUAAUGUCUGGGAAACUGCCUGAUGGAGGGGGAUAACUACUGGAAACGGUAGCUAAUACCGCAUAACGUCGCAAGACCAAAGAGGGGGACCUUCGGGCCUCUUGCCAUCGGAUGUGCCCAGAUGGGAUUAGCUAGUAGGUGGGGUAACGGCCCACCUAGGCGACGAUCCCUAGCUGGUCUGAGAGGAUGACCAGCCACCCUGGAACUGAGACACGGUCCAGACUCCUACGGGAGGCAGCAGUGGGGAAUAUUGCACAAUGGGCGCAAGCCUGAUGCAGCCAUGCCGCGUGUAUGAAGAAGGCCUUCGGGUUGUAAAGUACUUUCAGCGGGGAGGAAGGGAGUAAAGUUAAUACCUUUACUCAUUGACGUUACCCGCAGAAGAAGCACCGGCUAACUCCGUG
rnacentral:rRNA from 1 species